rnacentral:rRNA from 1 species
GAGAAUCCUCAACGCCUAUUGGGAAAGGUUUCCUGGGGAAGGUUCGUCCACCCAGGGUUAGUCAGGACCUAAGGAGAGGCCGAAAGGCGUAUCUGAUGGACAACAGGUUAAUAUUCCUGUACUGGCUGUACGUAGUGAUGGAGUGACGGAGAAGGAUAACACUACCACUUAUUGGAUUGUGGGGUAAGUAACAACUGGUGGACAUAGUUAAAUGCGUGUCCUCUAACCGGGAGUUGCGAGUCAUAAGCUGAAAAGCUGAAUUGUGUGAUUUCAUGCUUCCAAGAAAAGCUUCUAAACGUUUAAAUGUAUGGUCACCUGUACCGAGAACGGACACACGUUCCCAAGAUGAGUAUUCUAAGGCGAGCGAGAAAACCAAUGUUAAGGAACUCUGCAAAUUAACCCCGUAAGUUCGCGAGAAGGGGUGCCAACUUUUGGUUGGCCACAGUAAAUUGUGAGGGGCAACUGUUUAUCAAAAACACAACUCUCUGCUAAACCGCAAGGUGAUGUAUAGGGGGUGAAGCCUGCCCAGUGCCCGAAGGUUAAGUGGAUGCGUUAGCUUAUGCGAAGCGUUGAAAUGAAGCCCGGGUGAACGGCGGCCGUAACUAUAACGGUCCUAAGGUAGCG